rnacentral:rRNA from 1 species
AGACAGAGGUGGCAAGCGUUGUUCGGAAUUACUGGGCGUAAAGGGCGCGCAGGCGGUUCGCCAAGUCCCGUGUGAAAUCCCCCGGCUCAACUGGGGAACUGCGCGGGAAACUAGUGGACUUGAGUUCGGGAGAGGAAAGCGGAAUUCCGGGUGUAGCGGUGAAAUGCGCAGAUAUCCGGAGGAACACCAGUGGCGAAGGCGGCUUUCUGGACCGACACUGACGCUGAGGCGCGAAAGCUAGGGGAGCGAACGGGAUUAGAAACCCCAGUAGUCC